GGCUUUAUAGUAUAAAAAUACAUUGGAUUGCAAGUCUAAAGAUGUGUGAGACACUAAGGCUU
rnacentral:tRNA from 1 species